rnacentral:lncRNA from 1 species
CGGCUCUGGCAUCCAAAGAUCCUACCAUUGACAGUGGCACUUCCAGGCCUAUGGCUGCUGACUUCAGAGCUGCUGGGAGCUUCAUCCUGCUCUUGCUCUUCAUGGGAAGGUGAAUCUCCAUGCAUCUGCAAUUUGAAGGCAGAGGAGAACAUUCUCCCAAUGUUUGGAGAGUGUUAUUCUGCUGGUCUGAUUGCCUCUUGCCUUUGCUGCUUUCUUCCCUGAGUUUCC